rnacentral:tRNA from 1 species
AGGAUAGUAGUCAAGUGGUAAGACAUAACUCUUUCGAUGUUAGUAUCGCAGGUUCGAAUCCUGUCUAGUCUA